GGCAUUUUAGCUUAACAGGCAAGAUGCCUGUUCCACACACAGGCAAGAUGCCUGUUCCACACACAGGCAAGAUGCCU
rnacentral:tRNA from 1 species